ACGAACGCUGGCGGCGUGCUUAACACAUGCAAGUCGAACGGUGAAGCGCCUUCCUUUUUGGUGGGUGUGGAUGAGUGGCGAACGGGUGAGUAACACGUGAGUAACCUGCCCCCUUCUUCUGGAUAACCGCAUGAAAGUGUGGCUAAUACGGGAUAUUCUGGGUCUGUCGCAUGAUGGGUCUGGGAAAGAUAUUGUUUCGGUGGGGGAUGGGCUCGCGGCCUAUCAGCUUGUUGGUGGGGUGAUGGCCUACCAAGGCGGUGACGGGUAGCCGGCCUGAGAGGGUGGACGGUCACACUGGGACUGAGACACGGACCAGACUCCUACGGGAGGCAGCAGUGGGGAAUAUUGCACAAUGGGCGCAAGCCUGAUGCGGCGACGCCGCGUGAGGGAUGGAGGCCUUCGGGUUGUGAACCUCUUUCGCCAGUGAAGCAGGCCUGCCUCGUUUGUGGGUGGGUUGACGGUAGCUGGAUAAGAAGCGCCGGCUAACUACGUG
rnacentral:rRNA from 1 species